rnacentral:rRNA from 1 species
AUUGAACGCUGGCGGCAGGCCUAACACAUGCAAGUCGGACGGUAGCACAGAGAGCUUGCUCUCGGGUGACGAGUGGCGGACGGGUGAGUAAUGUCUGGGGAUCUGCCCGAUAGAGGGGGAUAACCACUGGAAACGGUGGCUAAUACCGCAUAACGUCGCAAGACCAAAGAGGGGGACCUUCGGGCCUCUCACUAUCGGAUGAACCCAGAUGGGAUUAGCUAGUAGGCGGGGUAAUGGCCCACCUAGGCGACGAUCCCUAGCUGGUCUGAGAGGAUGACCAGCCACACUGGAACUGAGACACGGUCCAGACUCCUACGGGAGGCAGCAGUGGGGAAUAUUGCACAAUGGGCGCAAGCCUGAUGCAGCCAUGCCGCGUGUAUGAAGAAGGCCUUCGGGUUGUAAAGUACUUUCAGCGGGGAGGAAGGCGGUGCGGUUAAUAACCGCGCCGAUUGACGUUACCCGCAGAAGAAGCACCGGCUAACUCCGUGCCAGCCGCCGCGGUAA